UACGUAGGGGGCUAGCGUUGUCCGGAAUCAUUGGGCGUAAAGCGCGCGUAGGCGGCCACGCAAGUCGGGUGUGAAAUCCCGGAGCUCAACUCCGGAACUGCACUCGAAACUGCGCGGCUUGAGGUAGGUAGGGGAGAUCGGAAUUCCUGGUGUAGCGGUGGAAUGCGCAGAUAUCAGGAGGAACACCGGUGGCGAAGGCGGAUCUCUGGGCCUUACCUGACGCUGAGACGCGAAAGCUAGGGAGCGAACAGG
rnacentral:rRNA from 1 species